AAAGGAAUAGACGGGGGCCCGCACAAGCGGAGGAGCAUGUGGUUUAAUUCGAUGAUACGCGAGGAACCUUACCUAGACUUGAACGUAUUAGUAAUAUAUGAGAAAUCAUAUAGCUAUUUAUAGACUUUUACGAGGUGCUGCAUGGUUGUCGUCAGCUCGUGCCGUGAGGUGUUAGGUUAAGUCCUGCAACGAGCGCAACCCUUACACUUAGUUGCCAGCAUGUAAUGAUGGGGACUCUAAGUGGACUGCCGGCGCAAGCUGUGAGGAGGGAGGGGAUGACGUCAAAUCAGCACGGCCCUUAUGUCUAGGGCGACACACGUGCUACAAUGGUCGGUACAGAGGGCUGCUACACAGUGAUGUGAUGCCAAUCUCUAAAGCCGAUCUCAGUUCGGAUCGGAGUCUGCAACCCGACUCCGUGAAGUUGGAUUCGCUAGUAAUCGCAGAUCAGCCAUGCUGCGGUGAAUACGUUCCCGGGCCUUGUACACACCGCCCGU
rnacentral:rRNA from 1 species